UUGUUCUUGGGUCUGCAUGCAAUCUGCAGAGAGAGGCUGGGUCAGGCUGAGCCGCAGGGAUAGGAUAGGGCAGAGUGAUGCUGAAACUUAUUAGGGGGGAGGAGAAAGGGGAAAGCUGUGUAUGCAGAUGUUGAGUUGGGAAUUAAAGUGAUAUCAUCAAUGAACAAAGCACAAACAAGAGUGGAAGAAGACUAAAAAGCAAAGACAGGUAGCUCGGAUUAACAAGAAAACUCAACCGGAGAGAUGGAGGUCAUAUUCAAAUUGCUUGUGUGCCUGCUUCUGGUCCUGCACAGUAAGAUAUCAGUUUUACUCUCCUAUUCUCUGUGGGAUUGCAAGGCGUUUUAUAAUGUUUACCCCGGGGACUUUCCAAAGCAAUCAGUGAACUUUAACUAAAGCUGCAAAGUAGCCACAAGAACGACUGUAGCAAAGGUCCAACGGGGAAAAGAGGUUGGGUGUGUACAAGUCUCGGUAAAAUAUAUAAUAAUAAUAAUAACAAAGUGUUUAACCAGGAAAGGUACAUUCAGAUAUUCUCUGGUUUCCAAGUACGUAUUAGUUAGUUAUAUUAAACUAUUACCCAAUGCAACUAAGGAUAGUUGCUACCCACAACCAUAUAUGAUACUUUUAUGGAAUGUUUUGAAUAAUAACAAGGUCAACAGAACAUGUUGGUAGGGAUCUAUCGAGGCAAAAACAGGUGCUAUUCUGGAGCAAAGAGCUAAAUAUGGAGCAAUCACCAUGGAAACCAAACAAUCAAUAUUUAGCACCGAAAAUCGCACCAAGUUUGCCUUGAUUAAUUUCCCUCAUUUUCUCUUAGGUGUAAGAAGCCCCUUGAAUUGUCAUUCACUGGCAUGUAAUGUUACGGUCCAUAGAGUUUAGAGAGUUAAUGUAACGUUAUAUCACUUUUAUCUUUAUUUUAACUCCUUAAGAGUCAAUUACAGUAUAAUUCUGUCAUUAUAAUCUAGGCUUUACCAAACACUAAUUAAAUUAGAGUGUUGCACUCAUUAAGAGACAGCAAGGAUGUAUAGGAAAUCUGAUGCCAAGUAAGCACGAGAUUUGGAUGGAGGCAUGAAAUGGAUUCGGUCCAUAAAUGGUUAAUUGAACAGCAUAUGGUUUGUUUUCUUUUAAUUUGCAUAUGAUUAAAGUUAUUAUCAAGUUAGACAUGGACUCUUAUUAGCUUCAGUUGCUUAUGACUUUAUUAAGAAAAGAAAUGUUUGUUUUGGAAAAAUAUCUCUCCAGUCUUCACCUCCACCCAAAAGCAAAUAAAUAGACAUGGUCGAACAUGUGCUUGUUGUCUUGGUCGCUAUCGAGAGAAAUUAAAUAUGUAAUAGAGUUUGUACUGCUAUCCCCUUGGGCAUACAUAGGAACAUGUUUUGACCUUUUUGAGAUCUAUGAUGAUGCAGAAAAGUUGCAUAUUCUAUUAAAACUGAUCUUGAUGCAGAUGAAGUCGAGUUUCUCGCUUGUUUUCCUAAAACCGUAAUGGUCUUUUUUCCUAUUUUAUCUCCUGUUCAAAAAAGCAGUGUAGCAAUCCCAAGCUUUUUGGAAUUAUUUCACUUUAUUAGACUCUAGCAACUCUGCUGGAAUGCUGUUCCUUCCAUGUACAACUCCUUCUGUACAACUCCUGCAGAAACCUGUCUCCCUCCACCUAGCUUUAAGGGGACACUAUAGUCACCAGAACAACUACAGCUUAAUUUAGUGCUUCUGGUGUCUACAGCAUGUCCCUGCAGGCUUUUUAAUGUAAACACUGCCUUUUCACAGAAAAGACUGUGUUUAAAUUUCCGCCUAGGGACACCUCUAGCGGCAGUCACUCAGAUGACCACUAGAGGUGAUUCUUAGCCCAGUGUUCAGUAUCUUCAUGCUCUACGUUUCCCAUAGAGGUGCGUUGAUUCAAUGCCGUUUUGCCUAAUUGGAUUGGCUGAGAGUAUCAAGUUUGAUGAUCCAUGUAGCCAUUACCACGUCUUGGCUUCAACAUAUGAAUUUUUAGUAAUUUAUCUCUUUCCUGAUAUGUAUUAUUGCGGACUUUGCACGGGUCUAGUAUUCCUUGUUAGAAUUUCUUCUGUUGUUUCUAUGUCUCUUUGUAGUAAAGUUCUCUAGAACUGGACACAAUAUUAUAGAUGCAUUCUUCUAAGCACAUUUUAUUAGGGUGUGCACCCGGGAAUAUUUUUUCGAAGGCUGUGUGCGAGAGGUUUUUUUGUUUUGAGAAGGUGUGUGGUAGCUGUAAGCUGUAUCUUUCUGUCUGUUUUCUGUGGCUGUGUGUGAAUAGCUAUGUGUGAUGUGUGAGUAUAUUAGAGUGAUAUGUCUGGGUACUUGUGAGUGAAUAGUAUUGCUGUAAAUGAAUGGUAUUGCUGUGUGUUAUGUGUGUGGGUAGCAGUGAGGGCCGUGUGAACAGAUGAGUGUGCUGUCAGUGGGGAAGCUGGGAUAGGAGUGAUAGGCAUGGGGAGAGAAUGUUAGGUGUGGAAGUGAUCGGAGUGGUAAUGGAAUGGAUUGUUGGGAGUGAUAGGAACUUGCGGAGAAGAAGGGAUGAGUUGAAGUGAUAGCAGGUUGAGGAUGGUGGAUCAGAUGAUGGGGAGAGAUGGAAAUAUGUGGCGGAAGUGAUAGGGGUAUGGGAGAGAUGGAGGGAUGGAGGGAUGGCUGGCAGAGAGGGCAAGAGUGAGGGAGAGAUGGUUGGAGUAUGGGGUGAGAGGGAUAGACGGAUAGAUGGGAGGGGAGUAUGGGGUGAGAGGGAUAGACGGAUAGAUGGGAGGGGAGGAUGGGGUGAGAGGGAUAGACGGAUAGAUGGGAGGGGAGGAUGGGGAGAGAGGGAUAGACGGAUAGAUGGGAGGGGAGGAUGGGGAGAGAGGGAUAGACGGAUAGAUGGGAGGGGAGUAUGGGAUGAAAGGGAUAGAAGGAUAGAUGGGAGGGGAGGAUGGGGAGAGAGGAAGGGAUGGAUGGGAGUGAUGAGAAGAAGGAAGAGAGGGAUGGGUUUGAGGUGAUAUGAGGAUGGAGUGAGAGUCAUGGGUGAGAGAGAUGGGAGUGGGGAAGGAUGGUUUGCUUUAAUGGGAGGAAUAAAAUGAAGGGGGUUAGGAGCUGCAAUAAGGGGGGAUGAGGCUGCAGUGGGGGGGGGAGAUGGGGGUUAGAAGCUGGCACUGUGGUGACCCAGACCAAGUUCCAGGGCAGUCUGUAUCAGGGCAGUCUGGCAGGAGAUGGGGACUUGCUCUGUCCCUGCUGUGCCAUGCUCUCAGCGGUAUUAACUUAAUGAGCGGGGCCUGGCUGAUAGCGCCUCCCAUUUACAAGCUCCGCUCAGCAAAAUGAAUACCAAGGAGAGCAGGCCGGCUAUACCACAAACGGUAUGUUAAGCAGCAUUAGAUAUUACACAUGGUGCCCAUCAAAUGCACCAUGUUAAAAUAAAGAAAUGUGGCGCAGGGCUGGACCUGCUUGUUGGGUGCUUUAGAUUUUGCCUGGGUACAUCUGGCAAGCCUAUGCUUAUAAGACAUAUGUAAAGAAUUAUAUUAACCUUUUCCCACUAAAAUUCCUUCAUUUCAUACACUCAAUCCUUUUACUGACAUCUCCCCUUGCCUUGUGACAUAGUUUUACUAUUAAAGAGAACUAUAGCUCGUUGUUGUGGUUAUGUGCAAAAAGUAUUUGGGAGCCAUUUGUUUAUUGCGGCAAACCAGUUUUAAGUAGUUUAACAAAAACUGUAGUACUCUGGGUACCUAAAACAUAAGGUGACCCUAGGCUGCCGCCUGGGGCCCAACGGUUAGACAGGGGCCACAGAACCAUGAACUUGCUUGGCCCCAUUAACCGUUCAUAUAUAAAGAAUAAAGAAGGGGUAGACUGCCUCCGGUCCUGUGGAAUUGUAAUCCUUUUCUGCCUAAACCCAUCCUGUUUGCAGCCACCCAGGUGAAGUGGAUAUGCAGCUUUGCAUUAUUAUUCCAACCAUACAUAAAUUCACCCCUAGUAAUUAUAGGCUAUCAUUGCUAUCCAGAGCUGAGCAUCUUGGAUGGAUACGACAGAUGUAAAUCUUCCACAUUACUGGCAGAAAGGAUGGAUUUGGGAUCUGAGAAGAGCCCUACUUUUUGCAAAAAAUGCUUAAAAACAGUUCACCAAAACAUAAGCAGACAUCAGUGAAAGACUCUUUACACUAUAACCACUACAAUGAGCUGUAGAGCAUUCCAAUGUAACGUCUGCAGAUGGGCUAUAAAUGGCAGCCCCCUCCUCCUAUUAAACAGUAAAAGAAGCUUCAACAGUCAUACAAUUCCUACAGAGCGUGAGGAGUGAAUGCCAUCUCAUAGAAUUGUUUACAAUAGAUUUACAAUAGAUUGCCACAAUACUUUUUAAAUAUAUAAUUAUUAUCAUUAUUUUAAAUAUAUGAUUUAAUUAUUCUUACUGUAUUUGAGCUUUCUGCUGUGCACAGUCUCAAUGAAAAAAAUUAUUUCAUUUUCAAAAAGAUCUAGUACAACGGCAUAUUUAUUAUUUUCUUUUCUGUUAAUUUUACUUUAAUCACACAUAGGAGGCUCCUGUAAGCUUAAGGAGACAAUUAGUAGGCGAUAAGAAACUCUAAGUGAAACACACUUUGCAAUAAGGGAAUCUAAAACAUUUAGACUCUGUUUCAGGGUCUAAGAGUUUAGGAAGGCUCUGUGACUCACAGCCAGGGAAGGUAUGGCCAGGACAGUAUAAACAAAAUGAUUUAACUUCUAAAUGGCAGAUAAUUGAACAGUGAGACUGCAGUGGCAUGAUCUAUACACCAAAACUGCUUCAUUAAGCUAAAGUUGUUUUGGUGCUGGAAGUGUCUCUUUAAAUUUCCCUGAAUUGCAUUUUUAAAAAAGCUCUCACACUACACUUUUCUUCAAUCCUCCAAAAACCGGAUGGCAGAGCCAGACUGUCACGUGAUCAGGAGAUAUGAGGGUAAUUCACACAAGGAUACGACAGUUCUGCCAUUAUCAGUUGCUAAGAAAUGCUGUAGCAAACACUCAGUAUCCUACAAAUAUAAUAUAGUUGGCUUGUCGGAUAAAAAAAUAUUUGUUUUGACAUUCAAAAUAGAAUUAUUGAUGAACUGUAAUUUACAGCUGUUAUGACGGUGAAUCCAGUGCUAAUUUUGUCAUGUAAAUGCAUUUCCUAAUGGAAAACUUGUUUUUGCCAAUAAAAAAGAAAUUAUAAUAAAAAAAAAAAAGCAAAUACAGUUUCGUGUCCCUCCCUUUCUGAAUCUAACUGCUUAUAUUUUCACUGUUUGGAAUCUACAGCCCUUUUCAUUUAUUUAGUGAAUGCGAUGUGCUGUAUUUAAGGAUUUUAAAAACAGGGUUAAAGUGUUCUUUUAUAUAUUUGUAUAAAGUGCAUAUACCAUAAAAUGAUCUGUUCUCUUUUCUCGUUGUUGUCAUUCAACUGAGAAAGAUAUUGUUACAGUAAAAAGUUUAGUUUCAUCACGUGAUAUUUUGUAAAUGUAUAGUUAUCCUAUACUAUAUGUGUGUCACUCAAGCAAUAUUAAGAUGUCAAUCACUGCUUUUUCCUGACGCAAAGGAUCAGCUGUUUUAUUCCAUCGCUUUUACUGGUUUCUACUUUCCUAACUCUCACUGAAAAGGUCAAUUUCAUUACCACAAAAGAAGAAAAACAAGUACUUAAAGAAUGUGAUGUGUUAGCCAACGCUGCAAAUACUGCUUUGUGGGUCUCUCCAAACGUUCUCAAUUUUUUAAGCAAUUGCCGUAGGUGCUGUGUUACCAAUCACUGUACUGGCAAGACAGAUACAAAAUGUCAAUUAUACUUUAACUGAGACAAAGCAUUUUUACUGUUAAAAAUAUUUUGACUAAACGUAAGCAAUUCCUAAAUUAUACCAGUCUAUAAUGUAAAAUUCAAGGCAGUAUUUGAGUCAUUAUCUUUAGAAGUGAAUCUGUCAUAUAAUACAGAACUGGAUGGGAGGCCCAAUUCUGUAUUGAAUGACAGGAAAUAGUAUACAUAACGAAUUUACAAUCCCAUACCUGAUAUUUAUCAACACUUUAAGUGCUGCCAGUGAGUUGUUAAUGAGGUCGUCACAAUCAUUGUCUCAUCCUUUUUGAGAGCCAUUUUACCAUUGUUGACCAGUGAAUAGUGGCACUUUCUCUUACAUUAAAGAAGCACUAUAGCAUUAGGAAUACAAAUGUCUUUUCUUGGUCCUAUAGUGUUAAAAACACUAUUUAGCCCCCCACCCCUCCUCCCCUUGCCUUUCCCAAAAAGGCUUAAAACUAUGGGAAAGUACUGGAUUGGCUGAGAUUGUCAAUUCUGAUGAUCUCGGCCAAGGAGGCGGGAUGGGGCAGAGUCAAAUGCCGUACUGGCCAAUCAGAAUCUCCUUGAAGAGAUGCAUUUAAUCAGUCUCUAUAGGGAAAGGUCAGUGUCUCCAUACAGAGCAUGGAGGCGCUGAACGGAAGUGCUGCACACUGUGCAGCACUGACCCAGGAAACACCUCUAGUAGCCGUCUGAGUGACUGCACUGGAGGUGUCCCUAGGCUGUAAUGUAAACACUGCCUUUUGUCUAAAUGAGACUGGCUGCACACCCCACAGUCUCAGUCUAAAUGAGACUGGCUGUGCACCCCAUAGUCUCAUCCAUCCCAUUACCUUGAUGACAAGCUCUGUCUUCUUUUUUUUCCCCCUCAGCUUCAAUUAUUUCCUCCUCAACUUCUGGUACAUCUACAAAUCUGUAAAUCUAUAAAGAUUGGAGCAUGCAAACAAGUACACAGCAUAUUAAUGAGGCCAAAAUCUAUAGCUUGCUGUAACCAUGUAUCAAUGAUGUAUCCAUGCAUUGCAUCCUCUGUCUUAAACGGGAAUAUAAAUGAAAGAUAGAUAGACUGAUACCUCUGGCUAUCAUAGAUCUCAUCCUCCUCUAGACUGAUAGUGAUUGAUUAGGGUUCUCGUCUCUAUGUUCCCACUAGAAUACUGUCAAUAGACAGGGUAAUGGCAGAAAAAUGGCAAAACAUUUUCACUGAAGAUAGUGUCCACUGUUUUCCUCUAACCCUGCUUAUCCCAGUGCACCUCUGUUCUUUCAAUGUCUGGUGUUCUAUCCAUGCAUAACAGAUAUUAAACGUACAACAAUGUAUUCAAUGUCUGUUGAGCAGGUACAUAAAUCUUGCUCAGUUCAAAUAUUAUUGUCAAUUGUUCACAGAGUCAGUGAGGGUGGGUCUGCAAUGGGGCAUAUGGAAUAGUUAAACUAUUGUAUGCAAUUGCUACAAAUCUGGUUAGUGAAAGUCAAACAUCUAUUUUUAUUCUCUUUAACAGUUAUUAAUGCUUUUACAUGACUAGCGUACUUUAAAGGACUACUUUAAACACCACAACCACUACAGCCCACUAUCCACAAUCAGUUGACACUGUCAGCCAAUGAGCUGGACCUGCAAGAUAGGUCUUAGCACAGGAGAGCUAAUGGAGCAUCUGGCUCUUAAUAGAGCAUGCUGUAGUGGUUAAAGUGCUUUGAGUGUUCCUUUAAGGGCACUUGCAUAGUUGCACCCUCAUUUAUUAAUUGGUUGACAGACUUUUUUAACAUGAUAAGACACUGUUUUGUAAAUAUUAAAUAUUUUCAUAAACGUGGGUUCAACAACUACCUCACACAUCAUGAUGUUAUUCUUAUUUUUUUUUUUUGCAAUAGCAAACCUUAGCAGUAGAAGGCCCUGUGCCAUAUAUAUUAUAUGGGGACAUGCAGUGCAAUGCAUUCCCAUGUGUGGAGUCUUAUGUCAAAAUGUUGCAAUUCCUGAAGAUCUAGUGUGAAGAAGGUAUUAAAGGGACACUUCAGUAUUAGGAAUACAAAGAUGUAUUCCUAACACAAACGUGUCCCUAAGCCCUCACCACCCCAGCAUUGUAAAGGGUUAAAUAACCCGUUAUUCACUUACCAGAUUCCAGUGCCAAGGUCCCUCGGCGCUGGGCCCGUAUCCGCCUCCUCCGACAUCAUCCGGUGGGAGGAACUAAUGCACAUGUGCAAUGCUUUCCUAUGAGGUUUUCUGUGACGCUGGAUGUCCUCAUGCAGAGCGUGAGGGUGUCCAGCUUUGUUUCACUGAGUCAAACUCUGUAAAACUCCAGCAAGUGCCUCUGGUACACCACCAGUAGAGGCAGUCUUGGUAAAACUGCACUGCUUUACAUUGCAGAACUAAUGGAGCCAGGAACACUGCACCCAGACAACUUCACUGAGACAAGUCCCUUUAAUCCUUCCUCCUCAUGCUCUUCAGAAUGUUAAUCAGACAGGAAAUGACUUCAUAUCCUAAUCUUUCAUUUAUUUCUAUAACCUAUAAGAAAGUAAAGAGGUGAGCCCUCUCCCAUCACACUAGAAAUAUAACCAAGCAUCAUGGAUGACUCUAGUUUACAAACAUUUGCCGUACUUACUUAGAGCUUCAAGGAUUGCAGUCCAUGAAGAGUCUUUGGUCCCUUUAAGACCACACUCUUUCUCACUGCUUAUCCAUAGUUUUUAUCUACAUACUAACAAAAUACGUUUCUAAAAUAACACCAUUUGUUUUAAAAACCAUUCCCGGCAUACAUAUUUGUACAGAACAAAAAUAGCUGAACUCUUUGCUUAAACACAUUCCGGAGAGUUUAUCUUGAGUUUAUCGUGAUUGCUAAAACAUGUGUUUUUUUGUUAAAAUACACCAGCUAAUUUAAUAUAGUUUGGCUGGAAAGGAGAAAUAGGGAAAUCUGGUAAAUGAUUUGGGGAGGUUAAUGAUGUUUUAAAGGUGGAAUGUUUCCAAAGAAUAACACAUACGAGUAUUACUUACAGAAAAGAAACUUGUUUUUGAAGAGGUCAGAGGAUAAUGGUUUAGCAUCAUAUUCAGACUGUCAACCUGUGGAAUCCCUGUUGAUUUUUUAUACUUUACAGCACUGCGGAAUAUGUUGUCGCUAUGUAAAUAAUUGUAAGAAGUAGUCUAACCAAUCAGAAGUUUGAGCUGGUAAUGCAUUAUGAAAUGCGUAAGGGGCUGCAGGACAGCAGCUCAAGUUGCAGGAAAUAGCUACUACAACUAUUGUUAUAGUAACUAUUCUCAACCUCUGAUUAAACCUUCUGCUUAACCAUAGCCACAUAUUUGUGGAGUUGCAAUAUGUGGUAAGAAGUUACAGGCAAAUAGCAUAGUGCUUUAUAGAUACAUGGUUGACAAUAGAUUGACAAUCCAGGAUAGAACAUGAGCUGCAAGAUUAUUUAGAAAAAGUAGAUGCCUAGAAUAGCUACCAGAAACAUAGGACGAUAGAGCAAACCAAAAUGGUCCCAAAACAAGGUCAGGAAGCCAGGUAUGGAAUAUUUCACCAAGGAAGAAGUUUGGCCUGGAAUCAAGAAAAUGCUUUAUAAUCGCAUCACAGUUGUGUUUAAAAGUUUGCACCCGCUUGAGGAAUUGGUGAUAUAUGUACCAUUUUUAAAUAAACAUUUCUUUUAUUUCUUAUGGCAUUCAUAUUCAAAUAUAGGUUAUAACAGAAUGGCACAAUCAUAAAACAAAACAUGGCAACAAAGAAAAUAAAUGAAAUGACCCCUGUUCAAAAGUCUGCAUACCCUUAGUUCUUAAUACUGUGUAUUGCCCCCUUAAGCAUCAAUGACAGCGUGCAGUCUUUUGUAAUAGAUGUCUAUGAGGCCCCUGAUUCUUGCAAGUGGUAUAGCUGCCCAUUCGUCUUGGCAAAAUGCCUUCAGGUCAUGUGAAGUAUUUGGUUGUCUUGCAUGAACUGCACGUUUGAGAUCUCCCCAGCACUCACACAGCCCCAAAACAUAAGUGAGCCACCACCAUGCUUCACAGUGGGGAUGGUAUUCUUUUCAUUAUAGGCCUUGUUGACCCAUCUCCAAACAUAGCACUUAUGGUUGUGACCAUAAAGCUCUAUUUUGGUCUCGUCACUCCAAAUUACAUUGUGCCAGAAGCUGUGAGGCGUGUCAAGGUGUUGUCGGUCAUAUUGUUACAGGGCUUUUUUUGUGGCAUUGGCGCAGUAAAGGCUUCUUUCUGGCAACUCGGCCAUGCAGCUCAUUUUUGUAUCGUCAAAAUGUGCUGCUUGAAACAACCACACCGUCUCUUUCCAGACCAGCCUGUAUUUCUCCUGAGGUUACCUGUGGGUUUUCCUCUGUAUACCGAACAUUUCUUCUGGAGUUGUGGCCAGAAUAUUUCUUGGUCUACCUGACCGUGGCUUGGUAUGUGUUCCUUUAACCAUUUUGAAUUGGUGGAUGUUGUACAAAUCCACCAGUUUUUCUUUGAAGUGCACAAAAAGCAUAAAAACAAAAUAUGAUUCUCCAAAUUAGUCCAAUAUACUGUAUUUAUAUUCCAAUGUACUAUUCUUCAGUUGGUCACUGCGUAGAUAUCCUGGAGAUAUCAUAAGGCAAGUCCUAACAGGAUGAUCAAAAAAUAAAGACGAAUUUGAUAUAUCAUGCAUUUGCAAGUUCUUUCAGCUUUGUAUCAGAACUCGCACAGACAUGUUUCUGCUGACAUAAGACAUCACCAGUAAUUUGUCAAGUAAGUGUUUUAUACUUCUACAUGAAGUUCAUGCUGAGUUUAUGAUGUCAUGAAGCUUGAGGGUACAAUAAUCACCUAAACAAAUCUCUCUGAAUUUAACCACUUCGUCACAGCUUAACUUGUUGCUUGGUAUUAUUGCGUCCCAGAGUGUGAUAAUUUAAGGACUGACUAUCGUUGUCAGAAUCUAACAAUACACAGUUGUUAGUUGUGUUUGUUUUGUUAUUUGUAUAGAUUUUGUGAGGUUAAAAAAAAAAUUUACCUGUCACCUUCGAUCUCAGCCUAUCAUUGGCAUUCAGGUUGAACAAAAUAUACAUUAACAAUGCAUAAGAAUAAAUCCUUGAAGGUGUGGAGGUUCCAAGGUUGUAUAGGGGAGCUAUCCGAUCACUUCCAAACCACUUGACAAAGAAACCAUUUGACAAAUAAGCAUUUGUCCUUUAAAUCAGAUGCUGAUGUGGCAGUAUUGAAAUCCUUAAAGGAACAUUAUAGGGUCAGGAACACAAACAUGUAUUCCUGACCCUAUAGGCAUCCCUUGCCCCCUAAAUAAAGUAACAUCUUAUUUGUAUUCCAGUCUGCUGCUGCUGGCUCUGCCCCUGAUCUGCCUGCUUGGCUGACAUCAUCAGAAGUAAUGAUCAUGACACAAUCACAAUGCUUUCACAUAGGAAAGCAUUGGAUUGGCUGAGCUUGUGAAGAAGGCAGAUCAGGAGCAGGGCUAGCACAAGCCAAACACAGCCCUGGCCAAUCAGCAUCUCCUCAAAAAGAUGCAUUGAAUCAAUGCAUCUCUAUGAGGAAAGCUCAGUGCCUCCAUGCAGAGGGUGGAAACACUGAAUGGCAGUGUUGCACAUUGUGCAGCAAUGCCCCAGGAAGCACCUCUAGUAGCCAUCUGAGGGGUGGCCAGGGGAGGUAUUCCUAGGCUGUACUGUAAACAUUGCAUUUUCUCUGAAAAAUCUGUAUUUACUGCAAAAAAAUUGAAGGUAAUGAUUAUACUCACCAGAACAACUACAAUAAGCUGAAGUUGUUCUGGUGACUACAUUCUCCCUUUAAAUAAAAGUUGGCAAAAUAAAUGGCCAAGACUGCUUGUUUGUACAAAUUAAUAUAACUAUUAGAUUGAUACUGGUCAAGAAAAAAUAUGCAUGUGUAUUUGUUGAUGAUAACAGAUAUGUACAUUCACUCUUGUUAAAAAAAAGUAUGAAAGAUAUACUCCUAUUUCUAUACAACAAUGGUUGCAAGGGUGUAUAGGAGAGCUAUCAAAUCACUUCCAAACCAUUUGACAAAGAAACCAUUUGACAAAUAAGCAUGGGCAGGGCUUAUCGGCACCAUAACUACUACACCCUGAGCACAUCCUUCUAUUAGAGCCACCUUGACCACUUUCCAUAGAUUCACACAUUUACCGGUCCCUCCAUGGAGUGAAAGCAGCGGUGUGUAUGCAUGAAUGAGUGCGUGCGCACAUGUUUGUGUGAAUGCGUGGGUUUAUUUCUGAAAAAAAUCUACAUAAGUGUAGUUAUUCAUAAAACUAUGAAUAGAUUAAUAUUAGAAAAGAAGAUGAUGGGCCAGAGAAGUUUUCCAAUGCAUCUAUUUUGGCAAAGCAUUUUUCAGUUUUCCAAAAGUCCCAGUUAAGUGAAUAAACCCCAAAAGUAAAAACAGUAAAUUCAAUUGAGAAUUUACCAAUACGGCAAGUAAUGUGUAUAAAUGUACAUUCCAGGAAAUAUUGAUCUGUUUAAUUUAAGAAAUAUAUAAAUAUAUUAUUUUAUUUUAUUAUUGUUUUUUUUUUAGGGUCACUAGGAUCACUAAACGCUGUUUUACUGGCAAAUGCUUAUCCUCUGUGAUUCUGUCCACAAAGAAUUUGCCUACAUUAAGGCGAUGAACACGAUGUUUCCGCAUUUAAGAGAAUAUGGUGCUAUUAUGGCUCUGUUUUAUGUAGACAUUUGAGCUUUCCCUCUUUCAGGUGUUGAUAGGAGCACGUUGGAACAUGUUGUAUUGUAUUAAAUUGGCAUUCCAUGUUACUCAUCAAUUGUUUUCUUACUCAGCUAAGAAGCCUUAUUGUAAUGUCAGAAAAUACAUCCUAGCAGCGAUCUGCACUCCGAAAACAGACUUUCUGCGAUAAAUAGUUUAAAUUAGGAGCAGAUGUUUGCAAAAAAUUGUAGGCAAAAAAAAAAAUAGUUUUUCUUGCCUCGUGCUUGGUUUUGCAACCCAUUUUAAAGAAUUUCCAUUAAUCUUUUCUAAACCCUAAAUAUCUUUUGUUGUGCAAUAGUAUUAUGUGACUGAUUGUUUUUUACUAGGCAUUUCCUGGUAUGUUUUUUUUGUAGUGAGGACACCCUAGUUUAUCCUUGCUUAGGCAAGGCACGUUUUGAUUCCCUUCAAAUUUUAGCAGCACGGUUUGCACGUCUUGAGGGGAGCUCUAGAUAAGGUUGAAGAUACUAGAAUAAUUUUAGAGUCUUUGACAUCUGUUUUCUUUAAUGGAGAUUAACAUUGUGGGGUAGGGAUUGAACAAUUAAUCAACAUACUUCUCUUAUAAUAUUAUCACACAUACUUCUCAAGGAUUCUGCUUUAGGAGGGAUAAACCCUCUUGGGGUCAUGAAAGCUUUGUCCUGUCCCUUUCCACCUUAGUUCCCUUCAUUUUAUGGACCCUAAUAGAUACUGAAUAUUCUAAUAUCCCAGAUAAGAGAUACUUGCACAGAAUAGACAGAACAUGGAAUAUAGAUUUUCUAAAAGGACUGCCCCAUAGAGAGCCAAUUCACGUUAAAGCAGGAAACUUCAGAGUAAUUUAAUCUUAAUCAGAAAAUCUAGAUUUUAAUUUAUUUUUGCAGGCCUGAUGCUGGGCCACCAGUGUUUUGUGUGCAGUUAUAUUCAUGCGUGUUGGAUAAUAAUAUAUUUUGAUUAUAACGUGGCAGCCUCCAGAUCCUGGCUAAUGACCACGUGGUGGAAANNNNNNNNNNNNNNNNNNNNNNNNNNNNNNNNNNNNNNNNNNNNNNNNNNNNNNNNNNNNNNNNNNNNNNNNNNNNNNNNNNNNNNNNNNNNNNNNNNNNUCAGAAGGAAAACAAAUGUGAACUUAAUCAUCUGUCCAGACACAUACUCUAGAUUACAAGAAAAUGAUGGAAUCAUAAUUAUACAAUGUUCUUAGAUCAACAUUGCUGGAUCUAGAUUGCUAGCACUUUGAAAAAGUCUUUCUAGUUUUGAUAUGACAAACUACAUAUCUUAUUGUCAUUACAUUAUAUUGCCUUAAAUAGCAGAACACCCUCAACUGCAUUCACUAAAUUGCAAAUUAUUGUGAAUUCCAUAUUUUAGUUCAAAAUAGCUGAACUGGAAGUAAAGCUAAUUUUUAGAGUAUUCAAAAUGGACUAUUUUCACCUAAAAUGUAAAAUCCACUUCAAAUCCACUUUGAGUUCCCAAACAAUUUACACUUUUGUAAAUAAACCCUCUCGGUCUUUAUAAACAAUUCCUACCCAACCAUUGGCUUAUGUGAAAAUACUUUGAAGAAGACCUGCCGUGAGUGGGUAAUUCUUAGAGCAGAAAAGAAGAGAUUAGAAGGUAUGUUUUAAGCAACACUAACUUGUUAAGAAUACAAAUCUGUAUUCCUAGAACUUUAAUGUUCCUAGUUUUUGAAGCCCUCCUUCCUUAUAUGAAUACAUUUUAACACAAUAAAGGUAUUUGCUGACCCUUUUCAAGCCCCCUUGGUGCUGGUUUCAAGUUACAACAUCACAGAGAAGGCUUGGCCUCCUUUACGAUGGUCCCGUCCAAUGCUCCUCAUAGACCUGAGGAUUCUGGGGACCUGUUACACAGACGCAGUGAACACCACGUCCACAUCCAAGCUUCCCAUAGCAAAGAAUUAAAUCAAUGCUUUCCUAUGGGGGGCUUCUGCAUCACAUGGCUGAAUAUUUGUGGUAGCACCCGAAGUGGCUGUCAGGAAGACAACUACUAGAGGAGGACUUAAAAAACUCGUUUGAGCAGGGUCUUUAGCAACCUAUUGCUCCUGUAACAUUUUGUAAUAAUCUAAUUUAUUUAAAUUAUGUUUAAUUUGCCUCUUAUAAUACUGUAAAUCACUGCAGAAUAAGUUGGCGUUAUAUAAAUGCCAAAAAUAAUAAUAAUAACCCUGUAAUACAAGCAGUGCAUGUUCUACAAAACUUAAAUUGUGUUAUUUUAGGAUUAAAAGGGCAGGACUAGGCACCCAGACCACUUUAUUGAGAUGAUGUUUGUGGUCGUUCAAUACGUAAAAGAAUAUUGAAUUAUUGAAAAGUUUGAUAGCAGUAACAACUGUGGUGCACAAUUUGAAAUAUUUCAUACCUGUGAACUGUAUAGUCGUUGUUUGUUGUGUUACUGACCCUUCUUUGUGUGUUGAUACUGGUUGAAUAAGUUGAAUUAUUAUUAGUUGGGACACUUGUAACUCACCAUGUCACUGCUGUGCCCUUUAUUGUUUUUUUUGUACAGUUUGCCAUGACAAAUAUUCAGUUCAAUGAAAAAAAAAUAGAAAGCGUAGCAUUUUAUUUACAUGCACAAAAAGGAUUACCGGUACUUGUUAUAUACAUGAUACUUCCACUGGCGGAUCCAGGGGGGGGGCAACGGGGCAAUUGCCCCCCCCGAGAAAUCCGCCGGUCUCCCUCCCCUGCCAGCCCUGCAAUGUGCCUGCGGACCGGAGGGGAGAUCAGAGCUCUCCCUCCCCGGUCCGCAGGCACUGUGCUGAGAGCCGGCAGGGGAGGGAGAGGGAGGACCCGGGAGCUCAGUCUGCAGCUCCUCCGGGUCCUCCUCUCGCGAGAUUUGGAGCGUUGCCGCGGUUACCACGGCAACGCUCCAAAUCUCGCGAGAGUGAACUCUAGCCCGGGAGCGCGGGCUAGAGUUCACUGUAACCACUGGGACCACCAGGGAAUCACCACUGGGACCACCAGGGAAUCACCACUGGGACCACCAGGGAUGAAAAUAUGUCCCCCCUCCUCCUCCAUAAAGGUAAGAAGGGAGGGGGGACAUAGAAUAUUUGCUUUUUUUAAUUAAAUAAAGAUAUAUAUUAUUUUAAAAAGCCCCCCCCUACCCUUAACACACACACACACAUAGCCCCCAUGCUGCCCCCCCAUACAAACAUACUGCCCCCCAUGCUGCCCCCCCAUACACACAUACUGCCCCCCCAUACACAUACUGCCCUAUACAAUAACAUUUACAUACACACAUACUGCCCCAUGCUGCCCCCCAUACACACAUGCCCCAUAUACUGCCCCCCCAUACACAUAUACUGCCCCCCCCAUACACAUACUGCCCCCAUACACAUACUGCCCCAUGCUGCCCCAUACACACAUACUGCCCCCCAUGCUGCCCCCCCCCAUACUGCCCCAUGCUGCCCCCAUACACACCUAUACUGCCCCAUACACAUACUGCCCCCCCAUGCUGCCCCCCCAUGCACACAUGCUGCCCCAUGCCAUACACACAUGCUGCCCCCCAUGCUGCCCCCAUACACACAUACUGCCCCCAUGCCUUUAUACACAUACUGCCCCAUGCCCCCCCAUACACACAUACUGCCCCCCCAUACACACAUACUGCCCCCCCAUACACAUACUGCCCUCAUACACACAUACUGCCCCGCAUACACACACACUGCCCCCAUACACUGCCGCCCCAUACACACACAUUGCCCACAUUCACACACACACUGCAACUGUUACACACACAUACUGUCCCACACAUACACUGCAUCCCUGACAUACACUGCCCCCCCUACUCACACACUACAACCUUCACACACACACACUGCUCACACACUGUCCCCCUCACACACACACACACACUGCACCCCUUACACAUUGCACCACUCACACACACCACUGCUCCUAUGCCCUACUACCGCCCCAUUUCCCAGCAGACCUCAGGUAAGUUGUCAAACUGUUCUUAAACGGUUUGACUACUUACUCUAGGAGGGGGUCCCGGCACUAUUGACACCAUAACCACUACACUGAGCUGUAGUAGUUAUUGUGUCUGGAUUAUUUCUUUAAAUAAUCUACAAGUGCCCCUCCCGAGAUCAGGCUCUGGAUCCGCCACUGGAUACUUCUAUAUAAUAUAGCGCUACGGUUGUUGUUCGCACUUUAUAAAUAAUAAUAAUAAUAUACAAAUAUUCCACUUCUAUAAAGGUUAUUGUAAUUUAAUUUAAAAGUAACCAUGCAUUAUGGUUGUGUUAGAUUUGGGUUCCAGACAAGUGUGUACAGACAGGUGGUUUUGAGGGCAUUUUGGCACCCAUAAUUUAUUUAAUACUUUUAUUCAGAACAUAUUCCCACAGAUUUAACAUUGCCCUGGGGUUUAUGAAAGUGAAUAUGCUUUCGAUCUCAUUUUUGUGCCAGUUAAAAUCUGAAAGCCAGAGGGAUGUACUUUUUGACUGAGUACAUUGUAUAAUAAAAUGUUUCAUUUAUUUAAUGGAUAGUAAAAUGUACACAAUCCUUUCCUCCCCGCAAUUCCCCGCAGCUCUGAUUAAUAGAUUGCUGUUGAAUUCAGAGCAAACCCAUACAGCUCUGUUAAAAGCAAAACUGGUGGGAUGCCUUUAGCCGGCACAUUUGAAGGCCUAUAUCCUGAUAACCAGUCAAGACCUGUUUUUAAUCAAAGUGUGUGACCCUGCGAGUAUUAUCCCUUGUAACACUAAAACACAGAAUAUUGCAGUUUUGUACUUUCUUCACUGGCUGGAUUAUAUAGUUACAUAGUUACAUAGCUGAAAAGAGACUUGCGUCCAACAAGUUCAGCCUUCCUCACAUAUGUUUUUGCUGUUGAUCGAAAAGAAGGCAAAAAACCUGGUCUGAAGCUCUUCCAAUUUUGCAACUGGGGUCAAUUCCUUCUUGACCCCAAAUAGCAGUCAGAUGUCUCCAUGGAUCAAGUAGCUUUUACCCCACUAAUUAGAAAUUAGUGGGGUAUAUCCCUAGAUAAAGUGAAGAGAAUGAAGAGAGUAAACCUUAUGUCUUGAGUAAAUGCUACUACCUAAAUAAGACAUCCCACAAAAGUAAGCUGUAGCUUAUUUUCGGGGGAUGCUCCUAAUAUAAGCCCUACCUAGAAAAUAAGUCGUAGUUGCUAAUAUAUGUUUGGGGAAUUUUCCUAGAACAUAGAUUCGCGGGAUUCCAUGCGCAAAUAAGCUAAUCUAUGUUUGGGGAAGUUUCCUCGAGCAUAGAUUUGUGGGAUUCCAUGCCCUAUGAUCUAUGUUCGGGGGAAUUCCCCGGAAAUUAGACCUGCUUUCUUGUACAUGCUUGCUACCGUUUUCCGCUGAAAUAAGACAUGUAGUACUUCUAGAGGGUGUAGUGUGCAUGUAUGUGUAUCGGGACUCUUGUGUGGGUGUAUCUAAGGGCUGUAGCGUGUUACAGGAGCUGCGAUGUGUAUUUUUAUGUAUAGGGGCUGUAGUUUGUGUUUCAUGGUAGUUUGUGUUUGUAUAUGGGCUGUAGUGUGUGAGUCUAGGAGCUAUAGAGAUUGUUUGUGAGUCUAGAGGGUGUAGUGUAUGUGAUUGGUCUAUAUGGUGUAGUAUGUGUCUAGAGGGUGUGUGUGCAUCUAAGGGCUGUAGUCUGCAUUUACAUGUAUAUAAUGUUUAUGUGUAUGGACUGUAGUGUGGGGCUACAGUGAGUUUGCAUUAGGGCUGCUGUGUGUGUAUAAGGGUCUUCAGUAUGUAUUUAUGGGGCUGUUGUGUAGAGGGGCAAGGGUUCAGGCUGUAGAGGGAAACAUAUAAUAAAACUAAAAAAAUCAAACCAUACAAAAAAAAAAAAGAUAUAUUUAUGAGUUUAAAGACUAUUAGCACAACACAUUUAAUACACUGCCCUUCUUCCUCCCCCUGCUUUCCCCUAAUUUAAAACACUCCCCCUCUCCCUACCCCCAAUUUAAUAUACUUUUUAUCUAUCCCAAUUUCAUACACUGCCCUCCCUCCCCCUCCCCCAAUGCAAUACACUGCCCUCCCCUCUCCCCCAAUGCAAUACACUGCCCUCCCACCCCCCCUCCCCCAAUUCAAUACACUGCCUUCCCCUUCUCCCCCAAUUUAAUACACUGUCCUUAUUUCUCUAUCCCCAAAUUUAAUAUAACCCCUCCUCCCCAAUUUAAUACACUGCCUUUCUUCCCCCUCCCCUAAUUUAAUACACUGCCCUCUAUCCCCCUCCCCCAAUUUAAUACACUGCCCUUCUCCCCCCUCCACAAAUGCAAAACACUGCCCUUCCUCCCAUGCUACCCCAAUUCAAUACACCAUCCUCCCUGCCAUGCUACCCCAAUUUAAUAUACUGCCCUCCCAUGCUACCCCAAUUCAAUACACUGCCCUCCCUCCCACGCUACCCCAAUUCAAUGCACUGUCCUCCCUCCCAUGCUACCCCAAUUCAAUACACCGCCUUCCCCUGCUACCCCAAUUCAAUGCACUGCCCUCCCUCCCCUGCUACUCCAAUUCAAUACACUGCCCUCCCCUCAUACUCCAAUUCAAUACACUGCCCUCCUCUGCUACUCCAAUUCAACACACUGCCCUCCCCUGCUAUCCCAAUUCAAUGCACGGCCUCCCUCCCCUGCUACUCCAAUUCAAUACACUGCCCUCCCCUGCUACUCCAAUUCAAUACACUGCCCUUUCCUGCUACCCCAAUUCAAUACACUGCCCUCCCUCCCCUGUUAGCCCAAUUCAAUACACUGCCUCCCCGGCUACCCCAAUUCAAUACACUGCCUCCCCUAAUUUAAUACAUCACCCCCUUCCCCUUCCUCUAGUUUAAUGCAAUACCAGAAGGUCCCCAGGCCCCUUUUAGCCUAUCUCACGAGAUCCUUCAGUUCUAUGAUCGUCUGUGCUCAAGCAGGCUACACUGCGAGCAGAAGUAAGAGGGAGUGGCUGGCCUGCUCGGCACGCAGUCAGCCACUCUGCACAUUGUAGGGCCGCCAUUGGAUAUGACAUCACACGCUGAAUGCGCAUAUCGCGACUGGCGCGGACAAAGGCUUUGAGCUCUUGCAUCUCUGAUGCAUGCGAUCAGACGCGGCUGAUCGUAGCCACAGCACACAGUGGCCCCAGGGCAGGCGGCCUACCAGGAAAUUUCUCGGUAUACUGGUAGGCCAGUCCGCCCCUGCUCAUAAUGUACACAUUACUGCCUCUGAUAGCCCAAACAUAUUAUUUAGCUAAUUAUUGCUAUCAAGGAAAUGUAUGCGCAGUCACUCACUUUUUCAGAGUGACAAGAACACAAUCCCAUAGGAUCUCCUCCAAUCAGUUCCUAUGUGGGUGUGCUUAGCUGAGGCCUCCUUUCCUGAAUAACAGCCAAUGUCAGGAUAACGGCUGAUAUCUUGGCAUAGGCUUGUGGAAUGGGAGUAGAGGGGAGGUCCUUUUUUAUUCUCAGGGGUAGACACAAAGCAAAUUCCAGCAUGCCGUGCUUAGGGGACUCUAAAAGCCUGUAAUUUAGAGGGAUCACAUAAUCCAUGUGAACUAUGGGAAUAAUAAUUAAGAUGGUGAAAUCUUCCCUGUGAGAUAUGGAAAUAUCAUCUGGCCACAAAAUAUUGAAUAGAUCACAUUAUCAGAGUGUGUGUGCGUGUGUGUGUGCGCGUAUGCAUGUGUAUGGGUGUGUGUGCGUGUGUUUGUGUUUAUAUUCACACACUUCCGUAAGAGCUACGUUCCCUUUAAUAAGGAACACACACAACGUGGAAACACAUACUGUAUUAUACUGGAGCCACCCGCGCACACGAUUAUGUUGUACAGAUGUGUAGAGUCUUGUGGUAGAACAUUAUAAUGCUAAUGAUGGGUUCCACUGCAAGAUUAUACCUUGGUUCUAGCCAUGUCUUUAAUAUAGCAGUGUUAGCAUUUUGCAGCAGAAUGCCAUAGAUGUUAUAAUUACAGGAGAACUUGCAUACCGUGAUGUUACCACGUACAUUCUUCUCUCUCAUAGUUCUUCUCAGAUGUGUGAUGGAAUAAAAACAUUAAGGCAACCUAAACAAACUCACACACAUUUUCAGCUACAACAAGCCAGGAGCUAAGUGUGAGAAAUGCAAAAUACCGUUGCCCACGGCAGGCCACUAAGAAUAUCCCAGUGUUGCCGUCACGGCGUAGAAUCCCUGAUAUAAAUAGUGGCAAUCUAGGAAGUAAAUCACAAAAGUCAAGAUGAACGAAAGAUGGCCAACUCUCACGCCGACCCUUUAAUUUUAUAAUGUUGUAAAAAAAAAAAAAUAUUAAUGAUUCCUGUUGUGGUCUUAUUAUUGGUAUUGAAUUCUUUGUUUAGUUUGUGUUCCUGAUUUUAACUUUGACUUACCCUGACUACAUUGAUAUCCGUUAUCCCAACCUGGGCUCUGCUUCAUCUUAUUGUUGUCUUUUUCUACGCUAUUCCCUUUGCAGACAUUCUUUGCUUAUCUUGUACUAUUGCGUUAAGCCCAGCCACUCUAAGGACCAAAAAUAUGCUUUAUCUUAUCUUCUUCUUCUCCUCUGUCUCAGGUUUGCGUGUAUUGACAUUCAAUCCUGACAAUUAUUUGGUAACUUGCCCGUUUAUUGGAGAAGGUUGAGCAUUCUUGUACCAAACCUGGACUUAUAAGGCCAUGGUGCUUAUGGUGUAAAUAAUCAUGUAUAAUCAGUAAUACAUUUGUUUAAAAGUUAUGUUUGCCAAUUACGGGUUUUGAUUGAGCAAAUAAAAAAGACCACAGACUUUUUCCAACAUUAUGUGUCUUUAUAUUUUAUUGGUUUGUUGCAAGUAUGCUUUUCCAGACACAUGGUCGUGUUGUAAUGAUAUGUGUAAUUAGCUACUGGGUUUGAUUGGUGAUACUUGGAGGAACACAUACCAUGCUGUUAGUUUUUGACCAAUACUUUAUCCACUGAAUCGUAUCAACCAAGUUAAACCAAAGCAGAUCCAGUUUUGUUCACAGUGGCAAGGAUUGCCAUUGAUCAGAGUUAUUAAGGAACCACAAAAACCUCAUAUGCAGCUUCCUAUAUCCAUAUCAUAUCCAACUCUACAAAUGUUCAUAUGUAUAACAAGACAGAGUCAACUGCACUUUGAUUAAUAAUUGGAAAGAUUUGACAAGCUUAAUAAAGAAUCCAAACUAUUCUUAAAUGAAUCGAUCCGUCUGUACUCAUCUUUUUGUUGUCUUUUUCAGGUCCUGUUGUUUACCUCUACUCAGGUGAGAGAUAUUGAUAUAAUUUGAAUUACUUUAUGGAAAAUGAAAUGGUAGCGUUACAAGUCAAUGUAUAGGUUUAAAAAUAAAAAACUAUAAUCUAUCACCGUCCCUUCCUGUCAAUCAAUCAGAAUGCAGAACCACAUAAAGAAUUGGUUAGGAGCCUAGAGCAGGAUAAC
rnacentral:lncRNA from 1 species